ACGGGAGGCAGCAGUGUGGGAUAUUGCACAAUGGAGGAAACUCUGAUGCGGCAACGCCGCGUGAGGGAAGAAGGUCUUCGGAUUGUAAACCUAAGUUGUCAGGGACGAUAAUGACGGUACCUGAAGAGAAAGCUCCGGCUAACUACGUGCCAGCAGCCGCGGUAAUACGUAGGGAGCGAGCGUUGUCCGGAUUUACUGGGUGUAAAGGGUGCGUAGGCGGGGUUGCAAGUCAGGCGUGAAAUCCCACGGCUUAACUGUGGGGCUGCGAUUGAAACUGUAGAUCUUGAGUGAAGUAGAGGCAAGCGGAAUUCCUAGUGUAGCGGUGAAAUGCGUAGAUAUUAGGAGGAACACCAGUGGCGAAGGCGGCUUGCUGGGCUUUAACUGACGCUGAGGCACGAAAGUAUGGGGAGCAAACAGGAUUAGAUACCCUGGUA
rnacentral:rRNA from 1 species